rnacentral:rRNA from 1 species
UACGUAGGGUGCAAGCGUUAAUCGGAAUUACUGGGCGUAAAGCGUGCGCAGGCGGUUUUGUAAGUCUGUCGUGAAAUCCCCGGGCUUAACCUGGGAAUGGCGAUGGAGACUGCAAGGCUAGAAUCUGGCAGAGGGGGGUAGAAUUCCACGUGUAGCAGUGAAAUGCGUAGAGAUGUGGAGGAACACCGAUGGCGAAGGCAGCCCCCUGGGUCAAGAUUGACGCUCAUGUACGAAAGCGUGGGGAGCAAACAGG